GAGUUUGAUCCUGGCUCAGGACGAACGCUGGCGGCGUGCUUAACACAUGCAAGUCGAACGCGUGUAGCAAUACACGAGUGGCGCACGGGUGAGUAACACGUGGAUAUCUGCCUUUUGGUUCGGGAUAACCCCGGGAAACUGGGGCUAAUACCGGAUGGUUCCUUCGGGAUAAAGAUUUAUCGCCAAAAGAUGAGUCCGCGUCCGAUUAGCUAGUUGGCGGGGUAAUGGCCCACCAAGGCGACGAUCGGUAGCUGGUCUGAGAGGAUGACCAGCCUCACUGGGACUGAGACACGGCCCAGACUCCUACGGGAGGCAGCAGUGGGGAAUAUUGGACAAUGGGCGCAAGCCUGAUCCAGCCAUGCCGCGUGGGUGAUGAAGGCCCUAGGGUUGUAAAGCCCUUUCAGCGGGAAGAUAAUGACGGUACCCGCAGAAGAAGCCCCGGCUAACUUCGUGCCAGCCGCCGCCGUAAG
rnacentral:rRNA from 1 species